UGCCAGCAGCCGCGGUAAUACGUAGGGUCCGAGCGUUGUCCGGAGUUACUGGGCGUAAAGCGCGCGCAGGCGGCGGUGCUGGCCCGGCGUGAAAGCCCCCGGCUCAACCGGGGAGGGUCGUCGGGGACCGCACCGCUUGAGGGCGGUAGGGGCUGGUGGAAUGCCUGGUGUAGUGGUGAAAUGCGUAGAGAUCAGGCGGAACACCCGUGGCGAAGGCGGCCAGCUGGGCCGUCCCUGACGCUGAGGCGCGAAGGCGUGGGGAGCGAACGGGAUUAGAUA
rnacentral:rRNA from 1 species